GAGUUUGAUCGUGGCUCAGAGUGAACGCUGGCGGCAGGCCUAACACAUGCAAGUCGAACGGCAGCACAGAGGAGCUUGCUCCUUGGGUGGCGAGUGGCGGACGGGUGAGGAAUGCAUCGGAAUCUGCCUAUUUGUGGGGGAUAACGUAGGGAAACUUACGCUAAUACCGCAUACGUCCUACGGGAGAAAGUGGGGGACCUUCGGGCCUCACGCAGAUAGAUGAGCCGAUGCCGGAUUAGCUAGUUGGCGGGGUAAAGGCCCACCAAGGCGACGAUCCGUAGCUGGUCUGAGAGGAUGAUCAGCCACACUGGAACUGAGACACGGUCCAGACUCCUACGGGAGGCAGCAGUGGGGAAUAUUGGACAAUGGGCGCAAGCCUGAUCCAGCCAUGCCGCGUGUGUGAAGAAGGCCUUCGGUUGUAAG
rnacentral:rRNA from 1 species